UACGAAGGGUGCAAGUGUUAUCCGGAAUCACUGGGCGUAAAGCGUCUGUAGGUGGUUUAAUAAGUCAACUGUUAAAUCUUGAGGCUCAACCUCAAAAUCGCAGUCGAAACUAUUAGGCUAGAGUAUAGUAGGGGUAAAGGGAAUUUCCAGUGGAGCGGUGAAAUGCGUAGAGAUUGGAAAGAACACCGAUGGCGAAGGCACUUUACUGGGCUAUUACUAACACUCAGAGACGAAAGCUAGGGUAGCAAAUGGG
rnacentral:rRNA from 1 species